rnacentral:rRNA from 1 species
UACAGAGGUCCCAAGCGUUGUUCGGAUUCAUUGGGCGUAAAGGGUGCGUAGGCGGCGCGGUAAGUCGGGUGUGAAAGCCUUGAGCUCAACUCAAGAAAUGCACUCGGUACUGGGUGACUAGAGGACCGGAGAGGAUAGUGGAAUUCCCAGUGUAGUGGUGAAAUACGUAGAGAUUGGGAAGAACACCAGUGGCGAAGGCGGCUAUCUGGACGGUUUCUGACGCUAAGACGCGAAAGCGUGGGGAGCAAACAGG